rnacentral:rRNA from 1 species
AACGAACGCUGGCGGCAGGCCUAACACAUGCAAGUCGAGCGCACCUUCGGGUGAGCGGCGGACGGGUUAGUAACGCGUGGGAACGUGCCCUUCUCUACGGAAUAGCCUCUGGAAACGGAGAGUAAUACCGUAUACGCCCUUUGGGGGAAAGAUUUAUCGGAGAAGGAUCGGCCCGCGUUAGAUUAGGUAGUUGGUGGGGUAACGGCCUACCAAGCCUACGAUCUAUAGCUGGUUUUAGAGGAUGAUCAGCAACACUGGUACUGAGACACGGACCAGACUCCUACGGGAGGCAGCAGUGAGGAAUAUUGGGCAAUGGAGGCAACUCUGACCCAGCCAUGCCGCGUGCAGGAAGACGGCCCUAUGGGUUGUAAACUGCUUU